AUUGAACGCUGGCGGCAGGCCUAACACAUGCAAGUCGAAUGGUAACAGGAAACAGCUUGCUGUUUCGCUGACGAGUGGCGGACGGGUGAGUAAUGUCUGGGAAACUGCGUGAUGGAGGGGGAUAACUACUGGAAACGGUAGCUAAUACCGCAUAACGUCGCAAGACCAAAGAGGGGGACCUUCGGGCCUCUUGCCAUCAGAUGUGCCCAGAUGGGAUUAGCUAGUAGGUGGGGUAACGGCUCACCUAGGCGACGAUCCCUAGCUGGUCUGAGAGGAUGACCAGCCACACUGGAACUGAGACACGGUCCAGACUCCUACGGGAGGCAGCAGUGGGGAAUAUUGCACAAUGGGCGCAAGCCUGAUGCAGCCAUGCCGCGUGUAUGAAGAAGGCCUUCGGGUUGUAAAGUACUUUCAGCGGGGAGGAAGGGAGUAAAGUUAAUACCUUUGCUCAUUGACGUUACCCGCAGAAGAAGCACCGGCUAACUCCGUG
rnacentral:rRNA from 1 species